rnacentral:rRNA from 1 species
AUUGAACGCUGGCGGCAUGCUUUACACAUGCAAGUCGAACGGUAACAGGCCGCAAGGUGCUGACGAGUGGCGAACGGGUGAGUAAUGCAUCGGAACGUGCCCAGUCGUGGGGGAUAACGCAGCGAAAGCUGUGCUAAUACCGCAUACGAUCUGUGGAUGAAAGCGGGGGACCUUCGGGCCUCGCGCGAUUGGAGCGGCCGAUGUCAGAUUAGGUAGUUGGUGGGGUAAAGGCUCACCAAGCCAACGAUCUGUAGCUGGUCUGAGAGGACGACCAGCCACACUGGGACUGAGACACGGCCCAGACUCCUACGGGAGGCAGCAGUGGGGAAUGUUGGACAAUGGGCGCAAGCCUGAUCCAGCAAUGCCGCGUGCAGGAAGAAGGCCUUCGGGUUGUAAACUGCUUGUGUACGGAGCGAAAAGGCUCCCUCUAAUACAGGGGGCUCAUGACGGUACCGUAAGAAUAAGCACCGGCUAACUACGUGCCAGCCGCCGCGGUAACAC